rnacentral:rRNA from 1 species
AUACGGAGGAUGCGAGCGUUAUCCGGAUUUAUUGGGUUUAAAGGGAGCGUAGGUGGGAUAUUAAAUCAGCUGUGAAAGUUUGGGGCUCAACCUUAAAAUUGCAGUUGAUACUGGUUUCCUUGAGUACGGUAUAGGUGGGCGGAAUUCGUGGUGUAGCGGUGAAAUGCUUAGAUAUCACGAAGAACUCCGAUCGCGAAGGCAGCUCACCGGGCCGGAACUGACACUGAUGCUCGAAAGUGCGGGUAUCAAACAGGAUUAGAUACCCUGGUAGUCCGCACAGUAAACGAUGAAUACUCGCUGUUUGCGAUACACUGUAAGCGGCCAAGCGAAAGCGUUAAGUAUUCCACCUGGGGAGUACGCCGGCAACGGUGAAACUCAAAUGAAUUGACGGGG